AGUAACGCGUAAAGAACUUGCCUCACAGUUAGGGACAACAUUUGGAAACGAAUGCUAAUACCUGAUAUUAUGAUUUUAGGGCAUCCUAAGAUUAUGAAAGCUAUAUGCGCUGUGAGAGAGCUUUGCGUCCCAUUAGCUAGUUGGAGAGGUAACGGCUCACCAAGGCGAUGAUGGGUAGCCGGCCUGAGAGGGUGAACGGCCACAAGGGGACUGAGACACGGCCCUU
rnacentral:rRNA from 1 species